rnacentral:rRNA from 1 species
UAAUACGGGGGGUGCAAGCGUUGUCCGGAUUCACUGGGCGUAAAGCGCGCGUAGGCGGUUCUGUAAGUCAUCUAUGAAAUCCCGGGGCUCAACUCCGGGGCUGCAGGUGAUACUGCAGAGCUAGAGCUCAGUAGAGGCAAGUGGAAUUCCCGGUGUAGCGGUGGAAUGCGUAGAUAUCGGGAAGAACACCAGUGGCGAAGGCGGCUUGCUGGGCCGAUGCUGACGCUGAGGCGCGAAAGCGUGGGGAGCAAACAGGAUUAGAUACCCUGGUAGUCCACGCCGUAAACGAUGGGUACUAGGCGUCGGGGGGAGCGACCCCUUCGGUGCCGUCGCUAACGCACUAAGUACCCCGCCUGGGGAGUACGGCCGCAAGGCUG